rnacentral:rRNA from 1 species
AUUGAACGCUGGCGGCAGGCCUAACACAUGCAAGUCGAGCGGAGCGGCGGACGGGUGAGUAAUACCUAGGAAUCUGCCCGUUAGUGGGGGAUAACGAUCAGAAACGGACGCUAAUACCGCAUACUAUCAGAUUAGCCUAGGUCGGAUUAGCUAGUUGGUGAGGUAAUGGCUCACCAAGGCGACGAUCCGUAUCUGGUCUGGGAGUAUGAUCAGUCACACGGGAACUGAGACACGGUCCAGACUCCUACGGGAGGCAGCAGUGGGGAAUAUUGGACAAUGGGCGAAAGCCUGAUCCAGCCAUGCCGCGUGUGUGAAGAAGGUCUUCGGAUUGUAAAGCACUUUAGGUUGGGAGGCGGUACCGACAGAAUAAGCACCGGCUAACUCUGUGCCAGCAGCCGCGGUAAUAC